rnacentral:rRNA from 1 species
CCUACGGGAGGCAGCAGCCGCGGUAAUUUUGGGCAAUGGGCGAAAGCCUGACCCAGCAACGCCGCGUGAAGGAUGAAAUCCCUCGGGAUGUAAACUUCGCAAGAACGGGAAGAAUAAGUAAGGGUUAAUAUCCCUUGUGAUGACGGUACUGUUUGUAAGCUCCGGCUAACUCCGUGCCAGCAGCCGCGGUAAU